rnacentral:rRNA from 1 species
AGUGAACGCUGGCGGUAGGCCUAACACAUGCAAGUCGAACGGCAGCACAGUAAGAGCUUGCUCUUACGGGUGGCGAGUGGCGGACGGGUGAGGAAUACAUCGUAAUCUACUUUUUCGUGGGGGAUAACGUAGGGAAACUUACGCUAAUACCGCAUACGACCUACGGUUGAAAGCAGGGGAUCGUCGGACCUUGCGCGAUUGAAUGAGCCGAUGUCGGAUUAGCUAGUUGGCGGGGUAAAGGCCCACCAAGGCGACGAUCCGUAGCUGGUCUGAGAGGAUGAUCAGCCACACUGGAACUGAGACACGGUCCAGAGUCCUACGGGAGGCAGCAGUGGGGAAUAUUGGACAAUGGGGGCAAGCCUGAUACAGCCAUACCGCGUGGGUGAAGGAGGCCUUCGGGUUGUAAAGACCUUUUGUUGGGAAAGAAAAGCAGCAGGUUAAUACCACGCUGUUCUGACGGUACCCAAAGAAUAAGCACCGGCUAACUUCGUG